rnacentral:rRNA from 1 species
UACGAAGGGGGCUAGCGUUGCUCGGAAUCACUGGGCGUAAAGCGCACGUAGGCGGGUUGUUAAGUCGGGGGUGAAAUCCUGGAGCUCAACUCCAGAACUGCCUUCGAUACUGGCGACCUUGAGUCCGGGAGAGGUGAGUGGAACUCCGAGUGUAGAGGUGAAAUUCGUAGAUAUUCGGAAGAACACCAGUGGCGAAGGCGGCUCACUGGCCCGGUACUGACGCUGAGGUGCGAAAGCGUGGGUAGCGAACAGG